GACGUGACUUCAGAGUUUGAUCCUGGCUCAGGACGAACGCUGGCGGCGUGCCUAACACAUGCAAGUCGAACGGGGUAAGAGAGGAGCUUGCUUUUCUCUUACUUAGUGGCGAACGGGUGAGUAACGCGUGAGAAACCUGCCUCUCAGUGGGGGACAACAGUUGGAAACGACUGCUAAUACCGCAUAACACUUUAGUACCGCAUGGUACAGAAGUCAAAGCUUUAUGUGCUGAGAGAUGGUCCCGCGUCUGAUUAGCUAGAUGGCGGGGUAACGGCCCACCAUGGCGACGAUCAGUAGCCGGUCUGAGAGGAUGAACGGCCACAUUGGGACUGAGAUACGGCCCAG
rnacentral:rRNA from 1 species